GGGUACAUGGUCUAGUGGUAUGAUUUUCGCUUCGCAUAGUCCUCGAGAUUCGCGCCCUGUGAAAGGUCCCCGGUUCAAUCCCGGGUGUAUCCA